UAUAAGAUGCCUGAAUAAAGGGUAAUUUUGAUAGAAUUAAUAAUGUGAAUUAUCACUCUUAUAA
rnacentral:tRNA from 1 species